UACGGAGGGUGCAAGCGUUAUCCGGAUUUACUGGGCUUAAAGGGUGCGUAGGUGGGUAAGUAAGUCAGUGGUGAAAUCUUCGAGCUUAACUCGGAAACUGCCAUUGAUACUAUUUAUCUUGAAUACUUUGGAGGUAAGCGGAAUAUGUCAUGUAGCGGUGAAAUGCUUAGAUAUGACAUAGAACACCAAUUGCGAAGGCAGCUUACUACACAGUUAUUGACACUGAGGCACGAAAGCGUGGGGAUCAAACAGG
rnacentral:rRNA from 1 species